AUCGAAUCAGCUUUCAUUUUCAGCUACUCUCUACUGAGGCUCAGAUAGAGUGAGAGGAGAUCAAAGGAGACGAAGGAAUCAGACAGACAGACUGAAAUAUGUCCCAGGAUCACACAAUGUAUAUUCAUUGGAACGAGUGUGCUGUCCCCUUGAAUUGCUCACUGAAUACAGUGUCUGCCUCAAAAAUGAAAAUGUUUUUGGCCAAGUUUGUACUUUGGAUGCUAUUUCCCCAUUCUCAGAAACCCAGUACAUGUUGAGGCUUUUUCCUCCAGGAUUCAAAGAGAUAAAUGUUGAAUUUGAUCCCUGGGGGUAUGGCAGAAGCUACCUUACCAGAAUGUAAAAAAAAAUAAAAAUAAAUGGAAAAUUCCUAAAAUCCUAAGAUUUUUGUGAGGCAAAUGCGAAAGAAUUCUUAGGUCGCAAUUCCUGCCCUUCAACUACAGGUAUAAUUAAAGGUAAAUGUACAGCAAAGUGGUAGUUGCUGGGAGAACAAUUUACUAAGACUUUCUGUAAUCUCGUUUACUUUAAAGUCC